CCGGUUCAUCUCCUGGAGCCUCCGGUCCAGGAAAUCCUCUCGACUACGGGUCUCGAGGGUCUUCUGGCAGAAUGGAGGUAGAGAUCUUCUAGGGGUGGAAUCGUGAUCUGACUGAGGGCUCUCCACCCUCGGAUUCGUCUUUUCGGGAAAGACGGGGUGGCUGGCCCAAGUGGCCCGUCCUACCGUCAGAUUUUGGAGUUCCGACGAUGUUCUCUCCAGUCGCACUGACGCCU
rnacentral:lncRNA from 1 species